CCCCUUAUCGGGGUUGCGGACAGUGCCUGGUGGGUAGUUUGACUGGGGCGGUCUCCUCCCAAAGAGUAACGGAGGAGCACGAAGGUGGGCUAAUCACGGUUGGACAUCGUGAGGUUAGUGCAAUGGCAUAAGCCCGCUUGACUGCGAGAAUGACAAUUCGAGCAGGUGCGAAAGCAGGUCAUAGUGAUCCGGUGGUUCUGAAUGGAAGGGCCAUCGCUCAACGGAUAAAAGGUACUCCGGGGAUAACAGGCUGAUACCGCCCAAGAGUUCAUAUCGACGGCGGUGUUUGGCACCUCGAUGUCGGCUCAUCACAUCCUGGGGCUGAAGUCGGUCCCAAGGGUAUGGCUGUUCGCCAUUUAAAGUGGUACGCGAGCUGGGUUUAGAACGUCGUGAGACAGUUCGGUCCCUAUCUGCCGUGGGCGUUGGAAGAUUGAAGGGGGCUGCUCCUAGUACGAGAGGACCGGAGUGGACGAACCUCUGGUGUUCGGGUUGUGUCGCCAGACGCAUUGCCCGGUAGCUAAGUUCGGAAUCGAUAACCGCUGAAAGCAUCUAAGCGGGAAGCGAGCCCUGAGAUGAGUCUUCCCUGAUACUUUAAGUAUCCUAAAGGGUUGUCGGAGACUACGACGUUGAUAGGUCAGGUGUGUAAGUGCUGUGAGGCAUUGAGCUAACUGAUACUAAUUGCCCGUGAGGCUUAACCAU
rnacentral:rRNA from 1 species